GUAAGUGGACUUUUCCAUUUUUCUGCUAAGCCCAACACUCCACCACAGCCAGGCACACACUACACACACCCGCCCAUCUCAG
rnacentral:ncRNA from 13 species